GGCCUAUUCCAGGGCUCUCAGAGAAAAAUAAUGAGGGGUGUCGUGGGUAUGACUAUAUAGGUCUUGUAGAGGAGAAACAGGCGCUUCUUUUGCGCAAGGUAUCGAAGGGCGCUAUGUUCAAAAAUCUGAAACUAGAGCUAAAAAUUUGAAAAAAAUGGUAAAAAACAGGGGAGUCGGCCUAUUCCAGGGCUUCUAGAGAAAAAAAAUGAGGGGUGUCACGGGGUAUGACUAUAUAGGUCUUGUAGAGAGAAAACAGGCGCUUCUUUUGCGCAAGGUAUCGAAGGGCGCUAUGUUCAAAAAUCUGAAACUAGAGCC
rnacentral:lncRNA from 1 species